rnacentral:rRNA from 1 species
GAUGAACGCUAGCGGCAGGCCUAACACAUGCAAGUCGAGGGGUAGAAGUCUUCGGGCUUUGAGACCGGCGCACGGGUGCGUAACGCGUAUGCAAUCUGCCUUACACUAAGGGAUAGCCCAGAGAAAUUUGGAUUAAUACCUUAUAGUAUAUUGAUGUGGCAUCACAUUAUUAUUAAAGAUUUAUCGGUGUAAGAUGAGCAUGCGUCCCAUUAGCUAGUUGGUAUGGUAACGGCAUACCAAGGCAAUGAUGGGUAGGGGUCCUGAGAGGGAGAUCCCCCACACUGGUACUGAGACACGGACCAGACUCCUACGGGAGGCAGCAGUGAGGAAUAUUGGACAAUGGGCGCAAGCCUGAUCCAGCCAUGCCGCGUGCAGGAUGACGGUCCUAUGGAUUGUAAACUGCUUUUAUACAGGAAGAAACCCUACUACGUGUAGUAGAUUGACGGUACUGUAGGAAUAAGGAUCGGCUAACUCCGUG